GCCCGCAUGAUGGAAUUUUGGCAUACAUCCCUGUCUUAGAAACAGGUUUUUGCGAGUUCGAAUCUCGCUGCGGGUACUA
rnacentral:tRNA from 1 species